CCUACGGGAGGCUGCAGUCGAGAAUCAUUCGCAAUGGGCGCAAGCCCGACGAUGCGACGCCGUGUGAACGAUGAAGGCCUUCGGGUUGUAAAGUUCUUUCGCUUGGGAACUUGUACUAGGUAAAGAAGCACCGGCUAACUCCGUGCCAGCAGCUGCGGUAAUACGGAGGGUGCAAGCAUUAAUCGGAUUUAUUGGGUGUAAAGAGUGCGUAGGCGGAUAGGCAAGUCAGAUGUGAAAUUCCGUUGCUUAACAUCGGAGCUGCAUUUGAUACUAUCUAUCUUGAGGAUAGACGGAGAAAACGGAAUUCCACGUGUAGCGGUGAAAUGCGUAGAUAUGUGGAAGAACACCUGUGGCGUAAGCGGUUUUCUAGUUUAUCCUGACGCUGAGGUACGAGAGCAAGGGGAGCAAACAGGAUUAGAUACCCUAGUAGUC
rnacentral:rRNA from 1 species